rnacentral:rRNA from 3 species
AGACCCGAAACCCGGUGAUCUAGCCAUGGGCAGGUUGAAGGUUGGGUAACACUAACUGGAGGACCGAACCGACUAAUGUUGAAAAAUUAGCGGAUGACCUGUGGCUGGGGGUGAAAGGCCAAUCAAACCGGGAGAUAGCUGGUUCUCCCCGAAAGCUAUUUAGGUAGCGCCUCGUGAAUUCAUCUCCGGGGGUAGAGCACUGUUUCGGCUAGGGGGCCAUCCCGGCUUACCAACCCGAUGCAAACUGCGAAUACCGGAGAAUGUUAUCACGGGAGACACACGGCGGGUGCUAACGUCCGUCGUGAAGAGGGAAACAACCCAGACCGCCAGCUAAGGUCCCAAAGUCAUGGUUAAGUGGGAAACGAUGUGGGAAGGCCCAGACAGCCAGGAUGUUGGCUUAGAAGCAGCCAUCAUUUAAAGAAAGCGUAAUAGCUCACUGGUCGAGUCGGCCUGCGCGGAAGAUGUAACGGGGCUAAACCAUGCACCGAAGCUGCGGCAGCGACACUGUGUGUUGUUGGGUAGGGGAGCGUUCUGUAAGCCUGUGAAG